UUAAAUUGAAGAGUUUGAUCAUGGCUCAGAUUGAACGCUGGCGGCAGGCCUAACACAUGCAAGUCGAACGGUAACAGGAAGCAGCUUGCUGCUUCGCUGACGAGUGGCGGACGGGUGAGUAAUGUCUGGGAAACUGCCUGAUGGAGGGGGAUAACUACUGGAAACGGUAGCUAAUACCGCAUAAUGUCGCAAGACCAAAGA
rnacentral:rRNA from 1 species